rnacentral:piRNA from 1 species
UGGCUGUUUAUCUGCAUAGUAUUUCUCUCUC